CCCAGGUGGCCCAGACGAGGGCCAUUCAAGCCUGAAUCUCUCAGGGGCCCAAGUUUGCCAAGCCCUGGGUUCCCCAACUUGAGGAAGGAGAUUAUAAUUGGAGAUCUUGGAGAAUUGGGACUAUUUUUCUAUAUGCAUCCCUAUUAUUUAGCAAGAUGCCUUGGACCCAUUUCAAGAACAUUUUGAAAUACAGCACAUUUUUGUGCUCUUCAUUCCUGUUUUAUUGUUCAUUUCAUCAUUUCCUGUGAGGGUGUGGAAGAUCCCAUUAUUCAGAGUUAAGUAAGAAAAGAGUGAGGAAAAGGGAGAAAAGGCCGAGGCAAAAACCAAGGAGGAAGAAAGAAACAUCAGUUUCCCUUGCUCACUGUCAAAGCUGCUUCUUCACUGUGACUCUAAAAGGCAUAAACUAUGCU
rnacentral:lncRNA from 1 species